ensembl:lncRNA
GUGAAAUUGUUGCCAUGCAGUCAACAUACACAUUAUAAUUUUUUUUUACCGAAUCUUAACCAAAUAAAUGUAUUUAUAUUGCAACAUAUCCUGAGAUAUAAGUCAAAAUGUAUGUUUUCUAUCUUUAUUCCUCUACUUUUUUUCCUUCUCAGAAAUCUGGUUACAGCCAUUGAUAGCUUCCUUUUUCUGCCCAGUUCAGGUAUUUAAUACAUUUUCUGCCCCUAGCCAAUUCAGAUAUUUCAUGUAUUUCUGCCCGAGCCAGUUCAGGUAUUUCAUGUAUUUCUGCCCCUAACCAGUUCAGGUAUUUCAUGUGUUUCUGCCCUUCGCCAAUUCAGGUAUUUCAUGUAUUUCUGACCCUACACAGUUCAGGUAUUUCAUAUGUUUUCUGCCCAUAACCAGUUCAAGUAUUUCAUGUAUUUCUAGCCAAUUACGGUAUUUCAUGAAUUUUCUGCCCCUAGCCAGAUCAGGUAUUACAUGUAUUUCUACCCCUAGCUAGGUCAGGUAUUUCAUGUAUUUCUGCCCCGAGCCAGUUCAGGUAUUUCAUGUAUUUCUGCCCCUAGCUAGUUCAGGUAUUUAGAGUACUAAGAUUUGUCUGGUGAAGAGCAUAAGAUGAAAUGAAGCAGCAGAAGCAGGAUGAGGGCGUUGUCACGGCAGCAGGAAAAUGCUGGAGCAGUUAAUCAGGGCACGUAAUUGGCUGAAUCCCAAACGGCUCCCUAUUGGAUGACAAGGUGCAAUAAUUCACUCACUGUGUAAAGGUCUUACAGUAAAGUGCCUUUAUUAUAAACUAAUAUGAAUUUUCCUCAGCUGAUUUGUGACAAGAUGAAUAAGACAGUAAACAUUGACUUUCUGAUAAGAUACCAUGGUUCGCUGCAGAACUCUAGAUUUUUAGGAACCUCUAGAACAUUCACAUGUCUGGACAUGCCACAGGGACACAGAAGCUGUGUGAGACAUAUCAGUCCAAAGCCAUGAGCUUAAAAGCAUAGAUUUAGGAAUCGGUUUCAUCUUUAAUGGCAAAUAAAUGACAUCUGUGUUACAGGGGUGGCUUGGUACCAAGCAGGAAUAAGUACCCAGCCAGGCCCACUAUCCAACCAGAUAAAAGGUGGAGUGUAUGUAAUAUGUGUCACAAAUGUGUUGGUGCAGAUUUUCUCACAAAUGCAGCUAAGCAAAUUCUUCUUCCAAACAAACAGAUGGCGCUAUCUGUCAAUUUACACUAGUCUCCCAGGAGACGCAUUACAACACGCAUUACAUUACAAUUACUUCAAUAUUAAUAUGUUUAUCAACAGACGAAUAUAACCACACAGUCUUGAGAGUGUGUGCAAAGCUACACAAAAGAUGUGAUCAAUUAUGUAUUGUUCAUUAAUUAAUUGUUGGAUAACCCAGACAUUACACAUGCUAUCGAUGCAUGAUGCUUUAUAAGGAAAGUUGUUUUUAACCAUUAAAUCCCAGGAUCUACUCUCAUUAAAUCUCAUUAUCUACUCUCAUUAAAAGUUGGAAUGUACUCAUUAUAUCUCAGGAUCUACUCAUUCAAUGGUGGAAUCUGAUUAUAUCUCAGGAUCUACUCUCAUUAAAUGUUAGAAUCUACUCCA